AGACACCCUUCUGGGGCAAGACUUGCUUCAGUGGGGCUUUGGUGCUCACUGAGUCUUCCCCCUGAGUGUGUUCCU
rnacentral:pre_miRNA from 1 species